rnacentral:rRNA from 1 species
CUACGGGUCGCAGCAGUGAGGAAAUUGCACAAUGGGGGGAACCCUGAUGCAGCAACGCCGCGUGGAGGAUGACGCAUUUCGGUGUGUAAACUCCUUUUAUAUGUCAAGAAAAUGACGGUAGCAUAUGAAUAAGCACCGGCUAACUCCGUGCCAGCAGCCGCGGUAAUACGGAGGGUGCAAGCGUUACUCGGAAUCACUGGGCGUAAAGGACGCGUAGGCGGGUUGGAAAGUCAGGUGUGAAAUCCUACAGCUUAACUGUAGAACUGCACUUGAAACUUCUAAUCUAGAGUAUGGGAGGGGGAGAUGGAAUUAGUGGUGUAGGGGUAAAAUACGUAGAUAUCACUAGGAAUACCUAAAGCGAAGGCGAUCUCCUGGAACAUUACUGACGCUAAGGCGUGAAAGCGUGGGGAGCAAACAGGAUUAGAUACCCGGGUAGUC